CCGAAAUAAAAACCUGCAGAUGAUCAGCCUCUGUUAAAAGUGAACCGCAGCAGUUAGCCUUUCACCUCUGUGAAAUUUCCUCAACCUAGAUUGAUAGUUCGGUCGCUUUCCUCGGAGUAUUCCAGAAAAUGUUGCAAAGUAAUUCUAACCACAACCAAAGAUAUUGAUCAGAAGAUCCAAUAAGCUGUGAAUCUUGAAAUUGAAAUGUGGAGGAGAUAGAAAAUUAUCAGGACAAAACAAAAUAAAGAUGGUGGAACACUACUGUUUGGGAAUAAUGACAAGAAAAAAAGACUCUACAUGUGCAGUACAGACGCAACCAUUGCAGCUCUUCUGGGAACGCUGAUGCUGCCUCAGCAUCAGUCGAUGCUGAUUCUCCUGUGAUCUUUAAGUUCUUGAGGCUGUAACGCUUUACAUAGCUAGCCAGCCAUCCCUUACUAGCCUUAAACUCCCUCCUCUCGCUCACAACACAAGUAACGUACGAACAAGACGUGAGGUGAACAAUGUUCAAACAAUGAGUGCUGGAGAGAGAGACUGAGGAUCUGUGAAAUGGCGGGAGGCUACAGCAGGGUAUGCCUACACAUCACUUCAUUCGCUUGGAUUCAGCGUAGUGCCUGGCGUGCAGCAAAUUCAAGCUUUGCUUUUUGGAAUUUUCUGGAAUUUUUUUUUUGAAUAUUCUUGAUCCGUGGUUGGUUGAACCCGCGGAUGCAGAAUCCACGGAUACAGAGGGCCUACUGUAAGGAGUAAUUUAAGUAAAUCAUGUUUAAAUAAACAUAAUAUGAAGUGUU